rnacentral:rRNA from 1 species
AUUGAACGCUAGCGGGAUGCUUUACACAUGCAAGUCGAACGGCAGCGCGGACUUCGGUCUGGCGGCGAGUGGCGAACGGGUGGGUAAUGUAUCGGAACGUGCCCAGUAGCGGGGGAUAACUACGCGAAAGCGUAGCUAAUACCGCAUACGCCCUACGGGGGAAAGCAGGGGAUCGUAAGACCUUGCACUAUUUGAGCGGCCGAUAUCGGAUUAGCUAGUUGGUGAGGUAACGGCUCACCAAGGCGACGAUCCGUAGCUGGUUUGAGAGGACGACCAGCCACACUGGGACUGAGACACGGCCCAGACUCCUACGGGAGGCAGCAGUGGGGAAUUUUGGACAAUGGGGGCAACCCUGAUCCAGCCAUCCCGCGUGUGCGAUGAAGGCCUUCGGGUUGUAAAGCACUUUUGGCAGGAAAGAAACGUCGCGGGCUAAUACCCCGUGGAACUGACGGUACCUGCAGAAUAAGCACCGGCUAACUACGUG